GACGAACCGUGCGAACGUUGUUCGGAAUCACUGGGCUUAAAGGGCGCGUAGGCGGCUUAUCAAGUCAGGGGUGAAAUCCUCCAGCUCAACUGGAGAAGUGCCUUUGAUACUGAUGAGCUCGAGGGAGGUAGGGGUAUGUGGAACUUCUGGUGGAGCGGUGAAAUGCGUUGAUAUCAGAAGGAACGCCGGUGGCGAAAGCGACGUACUGGACCUCUUCUGACGCUGAGGCGCGAAAGCUAGGGGAGCAAACGGG
rnacentral:rRNA from 1 species